CCAAUUGGCCCCUAAUUGAGUUGGCAUAGUUACACCCAAAACGAAUUCAAUUAUGACCUAAACUAACUUGAUCUAGACAAAUUAUUAUAAAGCACGAAUCAUAUGUUGUCCGACAUGCCAUUGGUUCUUCCAGCACUUCGUCUGAUCCUUCAGUGCAUCGUCCUCUCCUUCGGCGUAUUGUCCAAUCGGCAUGUUGACACCCGCAACUUUUGAUCUCCUUGGCAU
rnacentral:lncRNA from 1 species